rnacentral:rRNA from 1 species
AGAGUUUGAUCCUGGCUCAGAAUGAACGUUGGCGGCGUGGAUUAGGCAUGCAAGUCGCGCGGGUGUAGCAAUACACCAGCGGCGUAAGGGACAGUAAUGUAUAGGUACCUGCCCUCGGGACGGGGAUAGCGGUGGGAAACUGCCGGUAAUACCCGAUGACGUCUUCGGACCAAAGGUGUGAGUCCGCCCGGGGAUGGGCCUGUAUCCUAUUAGCUUGUUGGCGGGGUAACGGCCCACCAAGGCGAUGAUGGGUAGCAGGUGUGAGAGCACGACCUGCGUCAUUGGGACUGAGACACUGCCCAGACACCUACGGGUGGCUGCAGUCGAGAAUCUUCGGCAAUGGGCGCAAGCCUGACCGAGCGACGCCGCGUGCGGGAUGAAGGCCUUCGGGUUGUAAACCGCUGUCAGUGGGGAGGAAGGCUCCGUGAAGAACGGGGUUUGACCUAUCCGCAGAGGAAGGACGGGCUAAGUUCGUGCCAGCAGCCGCGGUAAGACGAACCGUCCAAACGUUAUUCGGAAUCACUGGGCUUAAAGGGUGCGUAGGCGGCGCGGAAAGUUGGGUGUGAAAGCCCUCGGCUUAACCGAGGAAUUGCGCUCAAAACUGCCGUGCUCGAGGGAGAUAGAGGAGAGCGGAACUUAGGGUGGAGCGGUGAAAUGCGUUGAUAUCCUAGGGAACACCGGUGGCGAAAGCGGCUCUCUGGAUCUCUUCUGACGCUGAGGCACGAAAGCUAGGGUAGCAAACGGGAUUAGAUACCCCGGUAGUCCUAGCCGUAAACGAUGAGCACUGGAUUGGAGGGUCC